GGAAAGGUGGCAGAGUGGUUUAAUGUAUCAGUUUUGAAAACUGUCGUAGUUCAAAAACUACCGGGGGUUCGAAUCCCCCCCUUUCCU
rnacentral:tRNA from 1 species